GGCCAAGGGCAUGCCUGGGAGGCUAAGGGCCGGCAUCGGAUUCCCAAGACAAGAGCUGGGAGUGCGGACAUACAUGUCAACUACCUGGAAAUUAUCAAUGACUGCACGUGCCCAGCUCUUCUGGACCCUCUGAUGUUCUGUCACAUGGGAGCAAAUGGAGAGCUGGGACAUCCUUUGACCUCAGCCCUCAAAGGAUAAUUAACUUCUUGCUCAAUCCCUCAGCAUUUGACCAAAAUACCAAGAUAAAAAUGUAGGCCCGUGUUAGUACAAAAGGUCCUGCAUUCAACUGUCCUCCUUAUAUUGCCCAAGAAGUCUUGUGGAAUUCCAAGAAGAAUUCAAGGGGCCAGACCUGGAAUAUGCAUCAAUGAGAAUAAGACACUGACGAAGCUAACGACACUAACGGGGAAUGAGGAUAAUCGACUCCUGUCCUUUGUUUUACUCUUUAACCUAGUAAUAAAUCCCUUUAAAGGCCCGUGGUAUUCGGAGCAU
rnacentral:lncRNA from 1 species